CNUUUUUUUUGCGGUGACACGCANAUCAAUACAACUUUCAACAACGGAUCUCUUGGCUCUCGCAUCGAUGAAGAACGUAGCGAAAUGCGAUACGUAAUGUGAAUUGCAGAAUUCAGUGAAUCAUCGAAUCUUUGAACGCACCUUGCGCCCCUUGGCAUUCCGAGGGGCACACCCGUUUGAGUGUCGUGAAAUCUUCAAAACCUUU
rnacentral:rRNA from 1 species